CCUACGGGAGGCAGCAGUGAGGAAUAUUGGUCAAUGGCCGAGAGGCUGAACCAGCCAAGUCGCGUGAGGGAAGACGGCCCUACGGGUUGUACACCUCUUUUGUCAGGGAGCAAUUGGGUCCACGCGUGGGCUUAGUGAGAGUACCUGAAGAAAAAGCAUCGGCUAACUCCGUGCCAGCAGCCGCGGUAAUACGGAGGAUGCGGGCGUUAUCCGGAUUUAUUGGGUUUAAAGGGUGCGUAGGCGGAAUAUCAAGUCAGCGGUAAAAAUUCGGGGCUCAACCCCGUCGUGCCGUUGAAACUGAUGUUCUUGAGUGGGCGAGAAGUAUGCGGAAUGCGUGGUGUAGCGGUGAAAUGCAUAGAUAUCACGCAGAACUCCGAUUGCGAAGGCAGCAUACCGGCGCCCUACUGACGCUGAAGCACGAAAGCGUGGGUAUCGAACAGGAUUAGAUACCCGAGUAGUC
rnacentral:rRNA from 1 species